CUUGAACUCACUAUGUAACCCAAGCUGGUCUCAGACUCAUGCAGCUGUGAGGUGCAGAGCUGUCUGCUGUCGUGCACUCCUGCCAUGAUAUACUGUGGUACUGCAGGGCCAAAGCAGCAGAGCUGGGAGACCUUGGACUGACACCUUUGAAACCGGAAUGCUGAGAUGGAACCUGUAUUGUUGUGAUAAGAAUUUGUUUUAUAGACAAGCUUGGUGGCUACCUUUUUCUAAUCAUUCAAGUAUGGAUGCAGUUUUUCUAGAAUGUCAUCUACACCUGGAGCUUGGUGGAAAUCUAGAACACGAGACUAGGAAGGAAAACACUGCAGACAGAAAUGGAGAUCUCGGUUUCUCACUGCUUCACUAAGAGUGGCUCAGGUCACGUGAUUUCCUUCUUAGAUGCAGUUUUGCUAAGUUGCCAUGGACUGGGCUCAAAGUUGCAAUCCUGUGUCAGCCUCUGAGGGUUCCGGGAUCACAGCCUGCACCACUACUCCUGGCUUGUCCAAAGUUUCUGAGUAAACCGCAAGACUAGUUUUUCAAGCAUUCAAGGUAAUUCUGUGGCAUAAUCCCAUAAGAAACUAUAGAAUUAGAAAUUUCAUAAUCUCCUGUGAUGCUAUUCUUCCAGUUAGUUUUUCCAGACAGUUCUAUUUGUUUUGUCUGGAUGUUUUCUCAAUCUUAUAUAAAAUCCAUUACUUCUACCUCUGUAUAACUGUUUUCACCUUACACUGUGUUUUUCAUUUUCUAUUCUUAUCCUUAUGGUACCUACAUCCUCAUCUAUAUACCCAUAAAUUAUCCUCAAUAGACUUUUUGUGCUUGGUUACCUCUGGUUUUUUCAAGUAUAUAAUUACAUUUAUAAAGUUCUUCCAUAAUUUCUAACAUUAUGUCACUUCCAGGAUCAAGGGAUUUUUAAUUGUUAAAAAUGUUUAUUGGUACCUGUUUGUAGUAUGUAAUGAUUGCAUUCCUCAUGGGGAGUCCGUCCAGGUACAUUAGCAUCUUAAUUCUUUCACUUUCAACCCUUUUCUCUUUCCUCCCUUUCACUUCAUGGUUACUUCAGUUUUGAAUGGGAUUCAGUGUUUACUUGUUCUUUUUUUUUUUUUUAUUUAGCUUUUGAUUUGUUCUUUAUACCUCAAUUUCAGUUCUCACCUGGUCAAUGGACAAGAGGGUAUUGUCUCUAUCUACCUUGGUUGGGACCAAAUAGAAAAUAAUUUUAAUGGAUGUCCAGAGACUGACCAUUGUUCCUGAGUCACUCUAGGUUGAAGGCUCUUGUCUGACAAUUUGUGAAGAACACAGAAAAAAAAUCUCCUGAGGUCUACAACCCUCUGUAUAACACCAAUAGCAAAAGAGUUUAAAAAAGUAUGAUGUGCUUAAAAAAACCUUGGGAGAGUUCUAUUAUUAGCAGUAGGAAAAUAUAUCACUUUUUAAUUUAGUGAAAUUAAUAUCCAAAAUUAAUUGAAGUAUAUUUAAUUAAUUAAUAUGUCAUUAAUUUUUACAUGGAUUCUCCCCACUAGCGGUGUGUCUCUUAAAUGUCUGCUGGAAAGGUCUACUAUGGAAGCAUUGCUCACAGAUAGAGCAUUUUUUCCAGACACGUUUGCUACAUUUCUAUUUGCAUGAUUCUGCCCAGAGAGGGAUCACAUUUUUUCACCCUUAGACAUCCCGAAGUUAUGUGGGGAUUUCUCACUUCUAUCUGGUGCAAGCCCAUUGUGAAAGAAGAGUACCAUUAGCACUUCGUGUGAGCCUUGCUAGAGCUAUAAUUUUCUGUACCUGUUUGGCUUUGGCCAGAGAAAGAAGCCAAUGAUUGCAUGUUGACAUUGCCUGGCUUCUGGGGCCACUUUAUCCUGUUGGGCUGUGAAAUCCGCAUUCUUGUAAUGCCUAUCUCAUUUAUGCCAUUCUUUGCCUGAAUAUUUGCUACAGCAAAUUUCACAGAAAAGGAAUAGAGAUGAGUGAUUAAAAACAUAGCCUUCUGAGAUGAAGACUUCUACUGGCAAAACUCCAGGCCACACCAUUAAAAUAAAACUCUGAAGGACCCAGAGUAAUAAAACCUUGAGGCAGAAAAAGGUAUCUUAUCUCAGCAAUGACAAAGACAGUUGCCCAGAACAGUGUCAUCAUAUCCAGAUCCAUAAACUCAUCUAGGAACACAUAUUCAUCUAAAGUGUACUGAGCACUUAGGGUCUGCCUGGCACUGUGUUAGACUGAGAUGUACUGGACCAUGCGUCACCCUCGACUUCUUGGCUGUUAUGUUCUAGCAAAUGCAGCUGCCUGCUUAGAUCUCUUACAGAAAGCACAAACUCUACAACUAGAAAACUAAAUGGAUAAUAUUCCCCUGAAAAACCCUGCUCUAGCCUCUCUCUCCUCCUGUAUCAUCUGUUUUGGCAAAGUAUGCCACUACCUGCCCAGUGACUGAGGUCUGCACUGCACGAUCCCCUUCAUCAUGGUGAAUCACAAGUUCCGUCCGAGCUAGCAGCUUGGCACUUGACUCUGACCUUCUCUCCACUGGUCACAGCUUUCACUCCCAGUAAUUUUACUUUUGGGCCUGCACAUUGCAGCAGCAUCCAGUGUUACUUUCUCCACCAAUCAAUUCUUCCUACUGAUGCUGCGGUGAUAUUUUAAACAUGAAAAUGCUGGGAGGAUUAUGUCAAUUUUCUGUAGAAAGCCUUUACUGGAAAGGUUCUACAGUCACCUUAGAGGUGAACCCCAAACUUUUUAAUAUGGAUUAGAAGAAAGACCUUUGCAAAUAUGGUCUGGCCUUGACCCUACAAUGCCAGUGUUUGCCAUGGGUCUUACCUUCUAGUUUGAGCAAUGUUGAAAAUGAUGUUAUAUUCCAUACAAGCCGUAUAUCUAGUCUUUUAUACUUAAUAAGCCAUAAAACAUAAGCUUAUCACCCGGUCCUACUUAGGUUUAUGUGCUAGACUAUGAAACAAUUGUUUGUCAAGAAGGUGUUCCAUAUGUUACAAACCAGCUAAUUUCUUAGAAAAGCAAACAUUCGCAACUGAGAAUAAUAUAUAAAUACAUCUAGUUAGUGAGCUUUGAUGUUUAAAUAAUUAGACGAUGUGCCUAGUAAACAAAUAAGGGGGUUGGCACCAACUGAAUUGACUGGAAGAACUUAAUGGCUUGGAACACGAGAAUGGUAAAGGUCAGCGAUGUAAAGGGGAGUGGGGAAGAACGAGAUGGAAAUGGGAAAGGGACUGUGGGCCUGAGAAAUGGGACGGAGCUUCAGGAGGAGAUGAGUAGAGUGAAACUGCUGCCAAGAGCUCCAGUGGAACACCGGAAGAUGAAGACAGCAAGGAUACUAGCAGCUAACAGGUAGCACUUACAGCAGCAGUGACAUCAGCUCACAAUCAGACUUGCACAGCACUUACUAUGUGCCAAGCAAAGCCCUCUAAACAUGUUACACAUAUUAUGCAUGUUAACCAUAUUAACCAUUUAAUCUUCACUUGUCCUAUCUACCUCCUAUGACUGUUAAAAUGAUCAAAUGAAUCUAUUUUUAAAAAGUACUUGCAUAGUGAUAUCUAAAUAUUUGUCAAUAAAGCCCUCUUUCAUGGGGGCAUGGCAAGUCGUACACUUUGCUUGAGGCCACACAGCUCCUAAGUGGCAGAGGUCAGGUUAGAACCUGGUUACCUGGCCCUGGAGCCCACACGACCUCUGAGAUUUCUGUGGCCUACUGGGACAGUGACGGAGCUGCAGCUCUUCUUGCCUUCUUCACCUGCUGAGUGAUGGUUCAGGGUGCAUCUGCUCCUCCACGCAGAUCCCCUUCAUGCAGAAGAAUUCCAGCCUCAUGGGUUGGUGGGGGACUGCAUUGCUGCUGCUCACCUUAUCCCUCCCUCAUGUUCCGUCCCUCCGGUUGCUUUGGGGUGACCGUGUGGGAGGGACACUCCUUUAAGAGUUUCGGUGUGAUCUUAUUUAGCAAAAUAGAAACAAAAUACAAGCUGAGCCUGUAGACCCAUCACCAUUACUAGAAAAGGAUUUAAGAUCUUAAUAACAAGUGAGUCCAAGAUCUCUGGAUUAAGACUCAGAGUUAAGGGCCUCCUUGCCCUAGCCUUCUCCCAGUUCUUCUUUUCUUGCUUGUGUCCCUCAGCUGCUGAGCACCCAUCCCUGUCCUUACACUGUGAAAACAAUUAUGAUGACAAUAAAACUAAUGACCAGAACAGAGCAGCAUGAAUCUCUCCACACACAGAAACGAUAUUUGAGAAGACAGAAAUGCUUGCAACACUGAGCUGAUCAUUCUACAGUGUAUAUGUGUAUCAGAUGGUAACUCUGCACCCUGUAAAUACCUAUCCUAUUAUGCCAAUUAACAAAUAAAGUUAAUUUAAGAGGAAUGUGGUUAGCACAUAGUAAUGAACUCUUCUUAUAUGCUGGUCACAUGAAAGCAUAUCUCAUUUAAUUCUCACAGCAAGCUUGUACAGGAAGAACUGUUUUUAAAUUACCAUGGUAGGUGAAGAAACUGAGCCUUAGUGAAGGUUUGGUUGUUAAGUAGAAAGGUUGGAAUUAGAGCCCAGAUCUAUCUUUCUUACAUCCAGUGCCACACAUCCCUUCCUCCUCCCACUGAGCAUUCAGUGGAUUUGAUUUGUCUGAUUCUUGGGAGGUAAGUGAGGUGAUACACAUGGCUUCCCUGAAUGAGAUACUUGGGUAAGUGCUGCAGAAGGAAUUCCAUCCAUUGAGAAGGCCACUUUAAGCCAUGAACAUUAUGAAAGGCACUGAAUAAGAUCACAAGAUUUAUUACCAAGGCCAGUACCUGCUUAAUGAGUAUCUACAAUGCCCUGGACCAUAUCUGAUAGUGGCACAGAGAACAGCAGUGUCAUACAAGAUGUGAAUGCUGCUUCCAAGAAAGCAUUUGAAAGGGAAGAUAGGACCCGCUCUGGUCAGCAGCAGAGCCCAGGAGAAGCUGGAAUGGUGGAUUCUGUGAGGCCUCUGUGAGUGACUGGGUAUCCGGCUGUGACCUUUUCCAUUCUGUCCUCUUCAGAGUGAAUCUGGACCCCAAGGGCUAGCCUGAAAUUGAAUGAGAGCUGAAAGACCUGAAACAUUAAUAAGCUCAAGAGAAACAGACACUUUGUUUCUUCUCAAGGCCCAGAAGAAGGUGGCAGACUUCAUGUUCCUGAAGGAGAAAAGCUUGGGUCUAUCUUCAUUAUAACGUGGUCCAUGGAAGGACCAUCUGCUGCUCCCGACCUCGGUGGCUCAGGAAGAGCAGACAAGCUCUGCACUCCGUCGGUGGCAUCUCUCCCAUCUUCCCAGGGCCUUAGUAGAUGGUAGUGGGACCAUGAACUUCCAAGUCUUUCACCACCUUGGAGUUUCCCCAAGUCCAACACCAAAACACCUAUUGUACAAGGAGGUAGAACAUGGCUUUCAGGAGAGAUCCUAGUUCCUCUAAUGGGAUUUAGGAAUGGGGAGAGAAAUCCAAAUGUGUGGAAGAUGAUUCCUUGAGACAGAGAUAAAGGUAUGAACAUAGAAAUGGGGAGUGUUCUCAAAGGUACUCCAGUGGAACACCGCGAGGCAAUUUUGGGUCCUAAAAUAAUGAUUUCUAAGUUAAAAUAUCCCUUUUGUGAAUGAGAAAAAUGUGUGAUUUCUGCUGGCUAUUGAAUUAGAGAUCAGGAAGAUUAAGUGAAUGGAAGCAGAACAUGCCACAAAGAGAAAAAAAUAGGUAGUAGGACAAAAUUUCUUUUUUCAGUGAACUAAGAGAAACGGAAAUUUCACAGGCAAAUAAUGAGGGAUCUGAAUGAAAGAAGGCAGAGAAGCAUAUUUUCCUGAGCUGAAGAGGCUGUUAGCUUUCUAAUAACAAGAAUUGAGUCUAAGAAAGAAUUAACACCAAAAAAUGAACCAAUCCAAGGAAAACCACCACACUAGACAUCUCAUUAAACUCCUGACCAUUUAACAUAGGUGGUGAUGUAGUGUUCUUCUUGGGUCCCCCUCUAGGACUGCACAAUGAUAAUCCUCCACUUCUGCAGUCCAAUCUCUGCUGGCUUCUUAAGAUAAGAUACAGAGGAAAAGGCCUCUCAUCCUAACUUGCUAAUUCAGACUCAGCUCCUGCAAGGUCUGUUGUGGCCUCCUUUGAGGCCACACCAUAGCUCACCUCAUCCCUUUGCAUUAUCCUGUACAUAUCCUACAACUAUAUAUAAUGCAUGGUGCUCAGUGGGUUUUUAUGCUCUGAUUUCUUACUGCAUAGAGACUGCAGGGUAGAGGUAAGAAAAGAGGGUAGACAUUGGAGGAGAGAGAGUCAUUUAUUGUUAGGCAAAGAUAUUAGUUAUUUGUGCUUAUUUAUUUAAGUCCUAUCCCAUGUCUUCAUCUCUUAUAAGCACAAUUCCCAAGAGAACGCUACCAUUCCUGCCCACAAAUCCCAUUUCACAUGGUUCCCUGGGGGCUCUGACCCAUAACUCUGUACAUAAAGCAAAGCAAAGCAAAGCAAAACAACAACAAAACUCACCUUUUGAAAACUAAACCAAAGCACAGAAUUCCCUCUCCCCAAACUCCUAAGCCUCAUGAAAUUUUCUGAUAGAAACAGAUUAAGUAUACAGGAAAAAGAGGCUCACACUAUACUUGCUCACAAUUUUGAAAGCUGAAAGAGAGUGAAAUUAUGUGCAGAGAGCAACAUCUACUAAAAGGUAAAGAUGAUGAAAUACAACCGACUGGGAGAAGUCCUGAGAUCCAAGAAACCCUUAAUCAGUAAAAUAGAAUUCAUUUGAUCCAAGAGAAAAUCAAUUUAGGAUGGGAAAUUCAGUGUAUACUACUCAGAUAGUCCUCUGACACGAACACUACAGAAAGUCCUCUAACCACAUGGCAGUUCAGUUAAAAGAGGAUCUCAGGACCAAAAGGGGUAGAAACAAGCCAUCAUGCAGUGAUAUGGGUGGGACUUUGUACUUUCAAGGUGAGGCACAACUAUUGGAACAGAAAAAAUGAAAAGGGCCAUGUGCUGUAAUUCAGCGAUGUCAAGUAAGAGUUGAAGUUUGUACGAAAACAGAUGGGGAAAAUGAUGGGGAAAAUCAUCAUUCAUAGUAUCACUAACAGGAGGAAAAUCAACUUCAGUAGUUGUGGACAAAGAACAAGCAGAAAUACUUUUCAAAUUACCAAUUAGAGUAAAGGAGCAAAGAGAGAAACUCAGUUUGGUUGCCAAACAAUAGCAAAAUGUAGACACUAGAAGUUAAAUAUAAAAUGCAGGAAGUGAAUAAAUCAGUUUUAUAAGAAAUAUGAAUGGGUAUAGCUCUUUAUCAAGUGAUUAAGUUAAGAAACAAAAUCUAGGUAUCCAGUCAUAAGAGCCAACCUUGAUUGAGAAGAGAUAACCUUUAUCAUUAAAAUAUAGGGAUUAAAAAUAAAUUUUAAAAUAUACAAAGUAAAAAAAUAGCAAAAUAAAACAGUAAUGUAGAGGGAAGAUAUUAAUAGAGAGCUAAAAGAAAAAUAAAGAAAGUAUGUAAAAUGAAAAUUAAUUUCAUUGAAAAUAUCAAGUCUGAUUGGGAAGACAGAGAAAGUGAAAGAAAUACAACAUUAUAAGGAAAUAUAAACAUAAAAGGUACAAUAGAUAUUGUAAUAGGGAAAGAGACUGCACAAAAGGAA